rnacentral:rRNA from 1 species
UACGGAGGGUGCAAGCGUUAUCCGGAUUCACUGGGUUUAAAGGGUGCGUAGGCGGGUUGGUAAGUCAGUGGUGAAAUAUGGCAGCUUAACUGUCAAGGUGCCAUUGAUACUGCAGAGCUUGAGUACAGAUGAGGUAGGCGGAAUUGACGGUGUAGCGGUGAAAUGCUUAGAUAUCGUCAAGAACACCUAUAGCGAAGGCAGCUUACUAAGCUGUAACUGACGCUGAGGCACGAAAGUGUGGGGAUCAAACAGG